GUCAACCGCCCCUCCCCUAAAGGAAGGAGCUUGCAGAAAGGAUUCCCGGCAAGCUCGAGGUUGACCAGAUCAAGAAUGGGUAGGUCCCAAUCUACGUUGCAACUAGAGCUAAAGAACCGACCCUGGGAUGCUUCCUCAGUCCCAGGCACUCGA
rnacentral:sRNA from 1 species